UUCGCAAUGCCCGAAAGGGUGACGAAGCGACGCCGCGUGAGCGAAGAAGGCCUUAGGGUUGUAAAGCUCUGUCAGGGGUUAUGAAAUGUAAAUGGGCUAAUACCUCAUUUAUUUGACAAAGGCUCCAAAGGAAGCCACGGCUAACUCUGUGCCAGCAGCCGCGGUAAUACAGAGGUGGCAAGCGUUGUUCGGAAUUAUUGGGCGUAAAGAGCACGUAGGUGGGUUUGCAAGUCAGAUGUGAAAGCCUUCUGUUCAACGGAAGAAUUGCAUCUGAAACUGCAAGUCUUGAGUGUAGGAGGGGAGA
rnacentral:rRNA from 1 species